UACGUAGGGGGCGAGCGUUGUCCGGAAUUAUUGGGCGUAAAGAGCGUGUAGGCGGUUCGGUAAGUCUGCCGUGAAAACCUGGGGCUCAACCCCGGGCGUGCGGUGGAUACUGCCGGGCUAGAGGGUGGUAGAGGCGAGUGGAAUUCCCGGUGUAGCGGUGAAAUGCGCAGAUAUCGGGAGGAACACCAGUAGCGAAGGCGGCUCGCUGGGCCAUUCCUGACGCUGAGACGCGAAAAGCUAGGGGAGCGAACGAGG
rnacentral:rRNA from 1 species